CAAAGUUCAAAUAUUUGAACUUUGGGAGCGACUAGCCACGACUCCGUGCCGCGACAGCCAAUCAGGGCUCUGCUGACGUCAACAAACGGGCGAAGCAAGGAGGAGGAGGGGAAAAUCAAAAAUCAAACAAUGGAGGAACAGUUAAUCACGGCGGUAAGCUUCCACCCGGUCCUGUACGACGUGGGGUGCGGACUGUACCGGGACCGCACCUCCAAGGACGAGGCAUGGGUGAAGGUGGCCCAUGAUGUCAGGCUUUCUGGUAAGUUUGUUUGUGUAUUUAUUUCAGUGAGCGGACAGUUUUAUGAAAACAUAGCUAACUGCCCCUGUAUGCUAGGCUACAUGUUUCAACGUAUGUGUGUGUGUCUUUGCAGUGGAUGUGUGCCGCAAGCGGUGGAAGGGGCUGCGGGACGUUUACUUGAGGGAGAAAAGGAGGGAGAAAGAAGGCGGGAGAAGCGGGUCGGCGGCUUCCCAGCAGAGGAAGUGGCGUUUCACUGCGGUGAUGUCCUUCCUCGACCCCUUUAUUGCCCCGAGGGACACAUCAAGCAACAUGUCUCGGGAGGUCGAGGAAGACUUCACCGCAGAAAAUGCUGCUUCUUCUGCUGGGAUGCCUGAAGACCUGGAGGAAGCAGGCCCCUCAGGAGUGGAGUUUGACGGUUGGUUGAUGAGUGAAAAACAUAGCAAAUAAAUUUGAGUCCCCUCAUGGUUUAAACACACCAUUGUAGUCUAAUUUAAGAUGGACAGAUCAAGUCAUGCACAUGUAAUGUGUGAACAUUUUUUAUUUGAAUAACAAUGUUGCCUGAUUGCAGAGUUUUGAUUUCAGACAUUUUUGUCACAACUUUAACUAAAGAUAAGCCUGCUCCCUCUCCUGCUUCAGCUCCUUCUCCUGCCCCAGCUCCAUCUCCUGCUUCAGCUCCCUCUCCUGCCCCGUCAGCUUCUCCUGCUCCCUCAACUGCGGCAAGUGAUGCCUCGGGCCCCACUGCAGCCAGGCCAAGAGGUAUAGAAAUUAAAUAUUAACCAUAUAUUCAAUGAAAUUGCUCAAGGUCACAUAGAAAUUAUAAAACAAAUAGUAACUGAUUAGUUUUUUUUUAUGACAGGGAGGAAGAGGAGGACGCCUCCCUCCUCACGACUGGAGGAGAUUGAGGAGCUCCUCUGUCAGGCCCUGAGGAGGCAGCAGACUCCCCCUCCACCACCACCACCACCCACAUCUCGCUAUCCCGAGGAGGAGCAUUUCCUCCUAAGCCUGGCUCCUUCCCUCGCGAGGCUGUCACCCCAGGCUAAGGAGCAAGUUAAAUUUCAAAUGUAUAAAUUAGUUUUUGAAGCUCAGGAUUUCACACUGAAUUUGGAACCAGUGGAACCUUAGCUGGGGUGACAGCCUCGGGGGGGAACGAGCCAGGCUCCUCUGUUUCAGCCA